rnacentral:rRNA from 1 species
GAUGAACGCUGGCGGCGUGCCUAAUACAUGCAAGUCGAGCGAAUGGAUUAAGAGCUUGCUCUUAUGAGGUUAGCGGCGGACGGGUGAGUAACACGUGGGUAACCUGCCCAUAAGACUGGGAUAACUCCGGGAAACCGGGGCUAAUACCGGAUAACAUUUUGAACCGCAUGGUUCGAAAUUGAAAGGCGGCUCCGGCUGGCACAUAUGGAUGGACCCGCGUCGCAUUAGCUAGUUGGUGAGGUAACGGGUCACCAAGGCAACGAUGCGCAGCCGGCCUGAGAGGGUGAUCGGCCACACUGGGACUGAGACACGGCCCAGACUCCUACGGGAAGCAGCAGUAGGGAAUCUUCCGCAAUGGACGAAAGUCUGACGGAGCAACGCCGCGUGAGUGAUGAAGGCUUUCGGGUCGUAAAACUCUGUUGUUAGGGAAGAACAAGUGCUAGUUGAAUAAGCUGGCACCUUGACGGUACCUAACCAGAAAGCCACGGCUAACUACGUGCCAGCAGCCGCAGUAA